rnacentral:rRNA from 1 species
UCGGGAAUUUUGGGCAAUGGGCGAAAGCCUGACCCAGCAACGCCGCGUGAGGGAUGAAGGCCUUCGGGUCGUAAACCUCUGUCGGGAGGGAAGAAGGGUUGCAGUUCGAACAGGGCUGUGACCUGACGGUACCUCCAACGGAAGCACCGGCUAACUCCGUGCCAGCAGCCGCGGUAAUACGGAGGGUGCAAGCGUUGUUCGGAAUCAUUGGGCGUAAAGCGCGUGUAGGUGGCUUGGCAAGUCGGAUGUGAAAUCCCGGGGCUCAACCCCGGAACUGCAUUCGAAACUGCUUGGCUAGAGUCCCGGAGAGGAAGGCGGAAUUCCCGGUGUAGAGGUGAAAUUCGUAGAUAUCGGGAGGAACACCAGCGGCGAAGGCGGCCUUCUGGACGGUGACUGACGCUGAGACGCGAAAGCGUGGGGAGCAA